GCUAUCUGUCACAUGCUUGCUUGUGCUAGUGAGAUGGGGCGUGACAAUGGGAUAAUAUUAGAAAACUGACAGGCGUAUAGCAUGUAUUUUAGAAAAUUUUUAUGUAAUGAAAAAUUAGAUAAAUAGUUUAAUCUAUACUAUAUGCUUAAGAUCUAAUCUUGACACCUAUCCUAGGAUGUAUAACAUAUUAUGAUGCACGUACAUGAUCUGAAAAUAAAAUCUGCAUAGUAG
rnacentral:lncRNA from 1 species